rnacentral:rRNA from 1 species
GGAAGGUUCCCGCUGGAUUAAGCAUAUCAGUAAGCGG